UACGUAGGGUGCAAGCGUUAAUCGGAAUUACUGGGCGUAAAGCGUACGCAGGCGGCUAUGUAAGACAGGUGUGAAAUCCCCGGGUUUAACCUGGGAACUGCAUUUGUGACUGCAUAGCUAGAGUCUGUCAGAGGGGGGUGGAAUUCCACGUGUAGCAGUGAAAUGCGUAGAGAUGUGGAGGAACACCGAUGGCGAAGGCAGCCCCCUGGGAUAAGACUGACGCUCAUGUACGAAAGCGUGGGGAGCAAACAGG
rnacentral:rRNA from 1 species